rnacentral:rRNA from 1 species
AGUCAAUAGAUACCCCGGUAGUCCAUGCCGUAAACGAUGAUUGCUAGGUGUGGGGGGUCUGACCCCUUCCGUGCCGGAGUUAAACACAAAUAAGCAAUCCACCUGGGGAGUACGGCCGCAAGGUUGAAACUCAAAGGAAUUGACGGGGGCCCGCACAAGCAGUGGAGUAUGUGGUUUAAUUCGAAGCAACGCGAAGAACCUUACCAGGUCUUGACAUCCACCGAAUCCUGUAGAGAUACGGGAGUGCCCUUCGGGGAACGGUGAGACAGGUGGUGCAUGGUUGUCGUCAGCUCGUGUCGUGAGAUGUUGGGUUAAGUCCCGCAACGAGCGCAACCCUUGUGAAUAGUUGCUACGAAAGAGCACUCUAUUCAGACCGCCGUUGACAAAACGGAGGAAGGUGGGGAUGACGUCAAAUCAUCAUGCCCCUUAUGACCUGGGCUACACACGUACUACAAUGGCCGUUAACAGAGGGAUGCAAUACCGCGAGGUGGAGCGAACCCCUAAAAACGGUCUCAGUUCAGAUUGCAGGCUGAAACUCGCCUGC